rnacentral:lncRNA from 1 species
CGCCGUCGCCAGGACCGGCAACAACGCCGGUCAUCGUUUCUACAAGUGCAUCCGCUAUGAUGUAAGUUGUUUUUUUGAUUCAGAAAGCCCCGACCCUGCAUCUAGCUGACAUAGCUUGUCAUCGCAGGUCGUCGGACUAAUGCAUUCCAGUAUGUGUUUCAAUUUUUGUCAGGCUCGUCAGUGUCGUUUCUUCGAGUUCCAGCGCGCAUAUUGCAGGAGGAUGACUCAGGACCAUAUUGUUGCUGCGCAGCAUCAAGCUGGAUGGCACCCGGUUGGGCAUGGAUUCGCAGUUCAUCAUGGCAACCCGCCUGUCCAGAUGGUUCCAGCUG